UGGGGAAUAUUGGACAAUGGGCGAAAGCCUGAUCCAGCCAUGCCGCGUGUGUGAAGAAGGUCUUCGGAUUGUAAAGCACUUUAAGUUGGGAGGAAGGGCAUUAACCUAAUACGUUAGUGUUUUGACGUUACCGACAGAAUAAGCACCGGCUAACUCUGUGCCAGCAGCCGCGGUAAUACAGAGGGUGCAAGCGUUAAUCGGAAUUACUGGGCGUAAAGCGCGCGUAGGUGGUUUGUUAAUGUGGAUGUGAAAUCCCCGGGCUCAACCUGGGAACUGCAUUCAAAACUGACUGACUAGAGUAUGGUAGAGGGUGGUGGAAUUUCCUGUGUAGCGGUGAAAUGCGUAGAUAUAGGAAGGAACACCAGUGGCGAAGGCGACCACCUGGACUAAUACUGACACUGAGGUGCGAAAGCGUGGGGAGCAAACA
rnacentral:rRNA from 1 species